rnacentral:rRNA from 1 species
AACAUGCCCUUCAGUUCUGGAAUAACAGCGCGAAACUGCUGCUAAUACCGGAUAUUCCCCCCGGGGGAAAGAUUUAUCGCUGAAGGAUUGGCCCGCGUCAGAUUAUCUAGUUGGUGGGGUAACGGCCUACCAAGGCUCCGAUCUGUAGCUGGUCUGAGAGGACGACCAGCCACACUGGAACUGAGACACGGUCCAGACUCCUACGGGAGGCAGCAGUGGGGAAUAUUGGACAAUGGGCGAAAGCCNGAUCCAGCCAUGCCGCGUGAGAGAUGAAGGCCUUAGGGUUGUAAAGCUCUUUCUGUCUAAGAUAAUGACGGUACCUGAAGAAUAAGCACCGGCUAACUUCGUGCCAGCAGCCGCGGUAAUACGAAGGGGUGCU